CUGCAUCCGCCCCCCAUCCCUAUAAUUUAGGGAAACUUUUAAGGUUUUCAUGAAAAACCUCCCCCCAUCCCAAUCCCUAAAAUGGGGAUGAAGUAUAGGGGUGCUACAGAAGUUUCCCAUAUAUGGGGAACGACUGUACAUCCCCAUCGCUCCUGCCCCAACGAUUCUCUCCUUCGUCGCGCGCCUUCUUCUCCCUUCCCUCCCUCGCAACGCAGCACCAACGAGCACCUCUCUUCUCCUGGCGAAGAGGGAGUUGAUGUCGUCGGCACCAUGGAGGGGCAAAGAGGAGGCUGUCGAGGAGUUUCGGGAUGUAAAGCUCAAAGUCACGAAGUAGCCUCGAGUCGAAUCGGUGAUGCGCGUCCCUCGAAGAAAGAACGACAAGUCCAAACGCCACGACCUCAAAGAUGAUGAUUCCCUUGUCAAGAUUGACCCCCAGCUCUGUUACAUCUUUCAGCUUUCUUCAACCUGUUGUGAAACCUCUUCCACCUACCAUGGCCUAUAAUAUCUCCCGCAACUUGAGCUUCUUCACGCCCAUUUUCAUGCAGUUCUUUGAUCCAGAAGGCAUUGGAAAGGCCCAGAAAUCACUUGGGAUGGGACAGGAAGAAAAAGCUCGCUGUGUUCAAUGAAAAGGGAGGGGAGUCAAGCAAGACAGUUGAGGGCAUGUGGCUUAACUCAUGGUUUCUGACAGUGUCAAGAACUGUUUUAAUUCUUCACGACUGACAGUGCCAAGGCUUAACGAUUUGUUUUCCUUUUGUGUUCUGUUUUGUUGCGGAUGAAAUGUAUAUAGAUGAAAAUAUUCUAUUUGGUUUCGGAUGAAAUGCUGGAGAUUAAAAUUACUAGGUUUGUUUUUGAUAUAGAAACAAUGAUGAAAAUCUCGCUGCUUUGUGGA